AACGAACGCUGGCGGCGUGUUUAAGACAUGCAAGUCGAACGGGAUGAAGUUGUAGCAAUACCGCUUCAUCCAGUGGCGCACGGGUGCGUAACACGUGAGUUACAUGCCCUGCCGUGGGGAAUAGCCCGCCGAAAGGCGGAUUAAUACCCCAUGGUCCCGCAAGGGUAAAGGUGGCCGCCAGGCUGCCGCUGCAGGAUUGGCUCGAGGCCUAUCAGCUUGUUGGCGGGGUAACGGCCCACCAAGGCGACGACGGGUACCUGGUCUGAGAGGAUGAUCAGGCACACUGGAACUGAGACACGGUCCAGACACCUACGGGUGGCAGCAGUCGAGAAUAAUUCACAAUGGGCGAAAGCCUGAUGGUGCAACGCCGCGUGGAGGAUGAAGGUCUUCGGAUUGUAAACUCCUGUCAUCGGGGAGUAAGACCUGGCGUGAAUAGCGCACAGGGUUGAUAGUACCCGAAGAGGAAGGGACGGCUAACUUCGUGCCAGCCGCCGCCGUAACAU
rnacentral:rRNA from 1 species